GACGAACGCUGGCGGCGUGCCUAAUACAUGCAAGUCGAGCGCAGGAAACUGACGGAACUCUUCGGAGGGAAGGCAGUGGAAUGAGCGGCGGACGGGUGAGUAACACGUAAGGAACCUGCCUCAAGGAUUGGGAUAACUCCGAGAAAUCGGAGCUAAUACCGGAUAGUUCAACGGACCGCAUGGUCCGCUGAUGAAGGGCGCUUCGGCGUCACCUUGAGAUGGCCUUGCGGUGCAUUAGCUAGUUGGUGGGGUAACGGCCCACCAAGGCGACGAUGCAUAGCCGACCUGGGAGGGUGAGCGGCCACACUGGGACUGAGACACGGCCCAGACUCCUACGGGAGGCAGCAGUAGGGAAUCUUCCACAAUGGACGAAAGUCUGAUGGAGCAACGCCGCGUGAGUGAUGAAGGUUUUCGGAUCGUAAAACUCUGUUGUAAGGGAAGAACACGUACGAGAGGGAAUGCUCGUACCUUGACGGUACCUUACGAGAAAGCCACGGCUAACUACGUGCCAGCAGCCGCCGCAG
rnacentral:rRNA from 1 species